rnacentral:rRNA from 1 species
GACGAACGCUGGCGGCGUGCUUAACACAUGCAAGUCGAACGGAGAGGCCCUGCUUUUGUGGGGUGCUCGAGUGGCGAACGGGUGAGUAACACGUGAGUAACCUGCCCUUGACUUUGGGAUAACUUCAGGAAACUGGGGCUAAUACCGGAUAGGAGCUCCUGCUGCAUGGUGGGGGUUGGAAAGUUUCGGCGGUUGGGGAUGGACUCGCGGCUUAUCAGCUUGUUGGUGGGGUAGUGGCUUACCAAGGCUUUGACGGGUAGCCGGCCUGAGAGGGUGACCGGCCACAUUGGGACUGAGAUACGGCCCAGACUCCUACGGGAGGCAGCAGUGGGGAAUAUUGCACAAUGGGCGGAAGCCUGAUGCAGCAACGCCGCGUGCGGGAUGACGGCCUUCGGGUUGUAAACCGCUUUCGCCUGUGACGAAGCGUGAGUGACGGUAAUGGGUAAAGAAGCACCGGCUAACUACGUGCCAGCAGCCGCGGUGAUACGUAGGGUGCGAGCGUUGUCCGGAUUUAUUGGGCGUAAAGGGCUCGUAGGUGGUUGAUCGCGUCGGAAGUGUAAUCUUGGGGCUUAACCCUGAGCGUGCUUUCGAUACGGGUUGACUUGAGGAAGGUAGGGGAGAAUGGAAUUCCUGGUGGAGCGGUGGAAUGCGCAGAUAUCAGGAGGAACACCAGUGGCGAAGGCGGUUCUCUGGGCCUUUCCUGACGCUGAGGAGCGAAAGCGUGGGGAGCGAACAGGCUUAGAUACCCUGGUAGUCCACGCUGUAAACGGUGGGUACUAGGUGUGGGGUCCAUUCCACGGGUUCCGUGCCGUAGCUAACGCUUUAAGUACCCCGCCUGGGGAGUACGGCCGCAAGGCUAAAACUCAAAGGAAUUGACGGGGCCCCGCACAAGCGGCGGAGCAUGCGGAUUAAUUCGAUGCAACGCGUAGAACCUUACCUGGGUUUGACAUGGAUCGGGAGUGCUCAGAGAUGGGUGUGCCUCUUUUGGGGUCGGUUCACAGGUGGUGCAUGGCUGUCGUCAGCUCGUGUCGUGAGAUGUUGGGUUAAGUCCCGCAUCGAGCGCAACCCUUGUUCACUGUUGCCUGCACGUUAUGGUGGGGACUCAGUGGAGACCGCCGGGGUCAACUCAGAUGAAGGUGGGGAUGACGUCAAGUCAUCAUGCCCCUUAUGUCCAGGGCUUCGCGCAUGCUACAAUGACUGGUACAGACAUUGGCGAGCCUGUGAGGGCGAGCGAUUCUCGUAAAGCCGUGUCUCACUCCGAUUGGGGGCUUGAACUCGACCUCAUGAAAUCGGAGUCUUUGGUAAUCGCGUAUAAGCACCCUGCAGUGAAUUCCUCCCCGGGGUU